CUCAGGACGAACGCUGGCGGCGUGCGUAAUACAUGCAAGUCGAACGCUUCUUUCCUCCCGAGUGCUUGCACUCAAUUGGAAAGAGGAGUGGCGGACGGGUGAGUAACACGUGGGUAACCUACCCAUCAGAGGGGGAUAACACUUGGAAACAGGUGCUAAUACCGCAUAACAGUUUAUGCCGCAUGGCAUAAGAGUGAAAGGCGCUUUCGGGUGUCGCUGAUGGAUGGACCCGCGGUGCAUUAGCUAGUUGGUGAGGUAACGGCUCACCAAGGCCACGAUGCAUAGCCGACCUGAGAGGGUGAUCGGCCACACUGGGACUGAGACACGGCCCAGACUCCUACGGGAGGCAGCAGUAGGGAAUCUUCGGCAAUGGACGAAAGUCUGACCGAGCAACGCCGCGUGAGUGAAGAAGGUUUUCGGAUCGUAAAACUCUGUUGUUAGAGAAGAACAAGGACGUUAGUAACUGAACGUCCCCUGACGGUAUCUAACCAGAAAGCCACGGCUAACUACGUGCCAGCAGCCGCGGUAAUACGUAGGUGGCAAGCGUUGUCCGGAUUUAUUGGGCGUAAAGCGAGCGCAGGCGGUUUCUUAAGUCUGAUGUGAAAGCCCCCGGCUCAACCGGGGAGGGUCAUUGGAAACUGGGAGACUUGAGUGCAGAAGAGGAGAGUGGAAUUCCAUGUGUAGCGGUGAAAUGCGUAGAUAUAUGGAGGAACACCAGUGGCGAAGGCGGCUCUCUGGUCUGUAACUGACGCUGAGGCUCGAAAGCGUGGGGAGCAAACAGGAUUAGAUA
rnacentral:rRNA from 1 species